GAUGAAGAACGCAGCGAAAUGCGAUAAGUAAUGUGAAUUGCAGAAUUCAGUGAAUCAUCGGAUCUUUGAACGCACAUUGCGCCCGCCAGUAUUCUGGCGGGCAUGCCUGUCUGAGCGUCAUUUCAACCCUCAUGCCCCUAGGGCGUGGUGUUGGGGAUCGGCCAAAGCCCGCGAGGGACGGCCGGCCCCUAAAUCUAGUGGCGGACCCGUCGUGGCCUCCUCUGCGAAGUAGUGAUAUUCCGCAUCGGAGAGCGAUGAGCCCCUGCCGUUAAACCCCCAACUUUCCAAGGUUGACCUCAGAUCAGGUAGGAAUACCCGCUGAACUUAAGCAUAUCAAUAAGCGGAGGA
rnacentral:misc_RNA from 1 species